rnacentral:rRNA from 1 species
AGAUUGAACGCUGGCGGCAUGCCUAACACAUGCAAGUCGAACGGGAGUAGCAAUACUCUAGUGGCGGACGGGUGAGGAAUACGUAGGAAUUUGCCCUUAAGUGGGGGAUAACCCGGGGAAACCCGGAUUAAUACCGCAUGACCUCGAAAGAGCAAAGUGGGGGAUCGCAAGACCUCACGCUUUUGGAGAAGCCUACGUCGGAUUAGCUAGUUGGUGAGGUAAUGGCUCACCAAGGCGACGAUCCGUAACUGGUCUGAGAGGAUGAUCAGUCACACCGGAACUGAGACACGGUCCGGACUCCUACGGGAGCAGCAGUGGGGAAUAUUGGACAAUGGGCGCAAGCCUGAUCCAGCAAUGCCGCGUGUGUGAAGAAGCCGUUCGGUGUAAAGCUAC